UUGGACUGUCUCUGGGGAAAAAUACACGGGAAGACGGGGGCGACUGAGUUGUAGACAAUGCAACCACAGGAAUCAGUGACCUUCAAGGAUAUAGCUGUAGACUUCACCCAGGAAGAGUGGGCCCUGCUGGACACGUCCCAGAGAAAGCUGUACAGAGAUGUGAUGCUGGAGAACAUCAGUCAUCUGGUCUCCGUGGGGUAUGAAGUCUGCAAAUCAGAUGUGAUUUCUCAGUUGGAGCAAGGAAAGGAGCUGUGGAGGGAAGGAAGAGGA